CCUACGGGAGGCAGCAGUGAGGAAUAUUGGACAAUGGGCGCAAGCCUGAUCCAGCCAUGCCGCGUGCAGGAUGACGGUCCUAUGGAUUGUAAACUGCUUUUAUACGAGAAGAAACACCCCUACGUGUAGGGACUUGACGGUAUCGUAAGAAUAAGGAUCGGCUAACUCCGUGCCAGCAGCCGCGGUAAUACGGAGGAUCCAAGCGUUAUCCGGAAUCAUUGGGUUUAAAGGGUCCGUAGGCGGUUUAGUAAGUCAGUGGUGAAAUCUUCCCGCUCAACGGGGAAACGGCCAUUGAUACUGCUAGACUUGAAUUAUUAGGAAGUAACUAGAAUAUGUAGUGUAGCGGUGAAAUGCUUAGAGAUUACAUGGAAUACCAAUUGCGAAGGCAGGUUACUACUAAUGGAUUGACGCUGAUGGACGAAAGCGUGGGUAGCGAACAGGAUUAGAUACCCUGGUAGUCCACGCCGUAAACGAUGGAUACUAGCUGUUGGGUGCAAACUCAGUGGCUAAGCGAAAGUGAUAAGUAUCCCACCUGGGGAGUACGUUCGCAAGAAUGAAACUCAAAUGAAUUGACCGGNUGAGAGNGCGAGACGACGACGAGGAGAGG
rnacentral:rRNA from 1 species